rnacentral:rRNA from 1 species
AUUGAACGCUGGCGGCAUGCCUUACACAUGCAAGUCGAACGGCAGCACGGGGGCAACCCUGGUGGCGAGUGGCGGACGGGUGAGUAAUGCAUCGGAACGUGCCCUGAAGUGGGGGAUAACGCAGCGAAAGCUACGCUAAUACCGCAUAUUCUGUGAGCAGGAAAGCAGGGGAUCGCAAGACCUUGCGCUUUGGGAGCGGCCGAUGUCGGAUUAGCUAGUUGGUGGGGUAAAGGCCUACCAAGGCGACGAUCCGUAGCGGGUCUGAGAGGAUGAUCCGCCACACUGGGACUGAGACACGGCCCAGACUCCUACGGGAGGCAGCAGUGGGGAAUUUUGGACAAUGGGCGAAAGCCUGAUCCAGCCAUGCCGCGUGAGUGAAGAAGGCCUUCGGGUUGGUUAAA